rnacentral:lncRNA from 1 species
UUACACCAGAACCAUUGAUAUUCAAAUUAUGGAUUUGAAAUAUUAUUCCCCCUUCAGCUUUAGACUACACUGUCGAGUUGUCAUCUGGCUACGGAAGGAGGGAGAAUGUAGAAGAAUUACAGAUGCUGUAGAAUUACAAGGAACCUCUCUUCCAAAGGGGACUGGAGUGACUUUGGAUCCUUCAGAUCUCAACCGUUAAGAAGCUGCCUCAUGCUGAGUCAAGCCAUUAGACCAUCUAGUUCAGGAACACCUACAGUGACUGACAGGGUAAGUGCCAACUCCCUGGGGCCCUGGGUGCCCGAGCACCCACAAAAUUCCCAGUGAAAGGGCCAGG